GUUAAAAUGGUUUUAAGUCUACAUUAUAUUACAAUUAUAAGUCCAAACAUUUUCCAAAUUACAAUAUUCUCUAUGUCAAAUUAUCAAUAAACUUAUGGUUUAUAUUUUAAGUAAUUUUUAAUACAUUACAUAUUUUAUUACAUUUUUUGUCAUUUAAAUAUUCAAUAACUGUAUAAUAGCACUUUUCCAAAAGAAAGUGAAAUAAGUUUGAUCUAAAUCUCUCUAUCGGAAGAUCCUUUAUUUCUAAAGGUAACUUAUUGUAUACCCGUAUUGCCAUUGGAUAACAGCUGUCACUAUACAAUGUUGUUGACAUUGCGGGCAGCACCAGUUUAUCUGGGAAUCUUCUACGAUAGUUAUCAAUUACGUUACAGUUAACUUCAAAUAAAUAUAACUUGGUUUACAGCUUGUUCUCUGAGAUAUUCUACAUAUGGAACGAAUACAUUUUUUUUGGGCAAUAAAAGCUCUUGCUGCAUCUACAGAGUUGCCCCAUAUUAAGAUACCAUAUCUGAGAAUAGAAGCCACAUACCCAUGAAUUAUAUAUAUUGGGUACAACAACAGACAAGUCGUCAGCAAAUAAUGUACAAUAAUGCUUUGUAGCCUUUGGGAGAUCGUUAAUAUAGAGUAGAAACAAUAAUGGUCCCAAGACACUACCUUGCGGUACUCCAGUAUGCCUUUCUACAGUAUCUGAUUUAAAUGGUGUUUCAUUGUAAUCAGCAUCCAGAUUUGUUAGCUCCACAUAUUGAUAUCUGUUACUUAAAUAACUUUUUAUCCAAUUAUAAGUAUUUCCUCUAAGUCCGUAUUUUUCACAUUUUGAUAAAAGUAGUUCAUGCGAUACAUAAUCAAAAGCCUUGCUCAUGUCAAAAAAAAUUGUUGUUACUUCAAUGGAUUUGUCGGCGUAACGUAAAAUUGUAUCAACAAGUUUAAAAAUUGCCAGUGCAGUGGAUUUUCCUUUUUGAAAACCAUUUUGAUUUUCAUCUAAGAUACCCAUUUUUUUAAUAAAAUGAAAAUAGCGUGCGAAAUAGCGUGGAAGUCGACUUGAUAGAAUAUAUUGUUAGGAAUGAAGCUAUUAGAUUCUUAUAACUAACAAUCCUUUUCCCCUCUAAUUUAGUACUUAUAAAUACAAUAAAAUAUAUGAAUGGAGGUAGCAAUAUAGAUAAUAAGCUUAGAUUAUAUAGAUAAUGUCUCCUUAGAAAUGUUUUGGGAAAAACGGAUCAACUAUUUCAUACAAUUUUGCGUGAUAAAUAAUUAUGAGUACUUUAUAACUUCUAUAUUUAUUUUAUCAUAUAAUUUCUGCAUCUUUUUAAUGCGUAAAUACGUAUUAUUUAUUAAAUAACAAGUUAAGAUACAUUUUAUGCGUUAGCAUAUAGAAUAGUGAUAAAAAACGAGUCAGUAAUUUGACAAUUAGCUGACAAAAAGUUGACCUGUUUUUGGGGCUCGAUGCUCUAUCUGUAUAAUUUAAAAUAAUAAGAGGAGUAAAAUAAACUAAAAGUAGAAACGGAAAAAAUAGUUUUCUUUUUUGUUCUUUUUGUGACACAUAGCAAAUAAAAUAAAAAUGAAUAGAGAAUAAAAAAUGACAGAACAUUAUGACUGAUUAAAAGUUCUGAAAGUCGUAUCGAUUUUGUGAAUAUAUUUUUGAUGUUAACUAGAAUCAAAAUUUGUAUCUAGCAACUUUGAAGUCAAAAUUGGCCGUUGUUUGAGCUGUAUAAUUGGCCCAUUUCUAUAGUUUGCUGAUCCUUCGGCCCAUCGGGCUCUAAAUUUAAAUCAUCUUUAUUCAGACUUAUUUACUAUAAAUCGUAUUUUUUUUCUAAUUUACUGCAGGGUUCGGA